rnacentral:lncRNA from 1 species
CUUUGAAAAGUAUCUUGAGCAAAUCGAGUUUGUCUAAAACGCAUCCAGCGUUUAACAUUUAAUAGGAGCUGAUCAACUUAAUGCACCACAUGCGAUGGGUAAACGGAUCCUUCCCCUUUAAGGGCCUGUUGACGUGAGGUGAAGGAGAAAAACAGUUGUUAUGAUUCAGAAACUCAGGAUGAACCCAAUUAAUCAAUGCUGGGAUGAUUUGAAUCAUGUGGCCAAUGCUUGGUCACCUCUCUGAUAUCCUAUCCUCAGCCCUCGGAAGAUGCAGACGUGAUUAAUGUCACCUGUGACCACCAUGUCUCCAGGCAAGACCCCCCCAAACCCGGCAGACAGAGAAACAAAUUAGAUCCAAAGGGAUCCUCCACUGGGCUCUGGAGUUCAGAGGUUCAAGGUUAAAGUGAAAAGAAGGCUGAGCAUGGAGACAACAGGAGACUUCAAGUCCCACUUGACAGUUCCUGGCUAAGUGAUCCUAAACAAGCCUCUUAACCUCUCUGAGACUCAGUAUGCCCAUCUAUGCAAUGAGAAUUUGUAACAAUAAAAUCAAAAAGCCUCCUCUGUCAGGGUUGUGAAGAUUGCAAGUGAUAGCAAUUUGGAAGUACCUCCCACCAUGCCUGGCAUGUAUGUCUGUGUGUUUGUGUGUAUGUAUAUACAUAAAGCAUUGUGUGUCC